GGCGCUGUGGCUCAAGUGGUAGAGCUUCAGCCUUGAGCUGAAGAGCUGAUGGACAGCGCCC
rfam:Dipodomys ordii contig_32987, whole genome shotgun sequence.